GCCCUUCCUUCCCCAGGGAGCUCCCCGAACCUCGGCCGGCUCCAAACGGGGCGCGGGGCGCUGCUGGGGUGCAAUCGCUGUACCGCUGCUGGGGGGGCUGGCGGGUGUUGCAGCGGGGGCAGGGUGCAAUCCCUGCACUGCUGCUGCUGCUGCGGGCGGGGGAGCGCCUCACCGCAACACCCGGUGCGGGAGCAGCAGCCUCGUCCCUUGGGGGGUGCUCGGCUCAAGGCCCUGGGGACGCCGCUCCAGGCUCUGCACAGUGCUCAGGGCGGGUGCGAGCCCUCCUCUCCCCCAGGUGCUGCUGAUGUGCUACAAGAGCUGCUGGGAUGGCGCCUUCCAGGUGACCGAGGAGGUAACGCCCCGCUGGCAGAGCCCGAGCCCUGGGCAAGCCCCGGGACAGCUGAGCCCGGUGCCAGCGCCUGCUGGGUGGCACCAGGGGGGCUCCCCAGGCAGGGCUGGUGCCAGGGGCCAGCUGGGCGCAGCUGCCCUUGGACCUGCGAGUCCCCACUGUCCGUGUUGGCUUCCAGCUCGGCACAGCCCUGCAGCUCAGACUGGAGGGGAGCGAGGAGGAGGAGGAGGAGGAGGACGUGGACUCAGACUCUGCCUGGGAUCCUGGACGGACAGGUGGGUCCCUGGCCCAGGAGUGUCCCUGGGGCUGGCAGUGCCAUGGGGGGUGGCAGGAGCUGAGCUGUGCUGCCAGGGCAGUGGCAGCGGCGCGGCGAGGCCAGCGAGGCUGUGCUGGGGAGGCUGGAGGCUCUGGAGGCCGAUGUCCGAUUCCUCUGCACCGAGCUGGGGGCUGAGAAGCUGCUGUGGAGCAGCCGGUUCCUGGAGCUGCUGCGGGAGCAGCAGAGCCUGCACCAGCGGCUGCAGGAGCUGCCCUGGAACAGUGGGGACAGCCCCGAGCUGCCGGGGGAAGCAGAGGACCUAAGUGCCAGUGGGAGCGAGGGAGAGAGCCCAGAAGGACACCCGUGGAUGGAAACACCUCAGCAAGCACGUGGCUCCAUCCAGCAGACAGGCAGAAAAUGUAAGUGAAGCUGUGAGCAGGGCCUCAGCAAACCAGGCAGGAUCCACACAUCCCUCCCUGCCCAGGAUGCUGCAAGUCCCACCUGCACCCCUGUAUGUGCCUCCAUCCAUCCCUUGGUGCUGGCUGGGCCUGGCCCCAUCCAGCAGAGCUGCAGCCAUUCCCCAGGAGCAGGAGCCAGCUGGAGGCAGGUCAGGACAAGCCACUGGCCCUGGGUCUGCCCCAGGACACGUCACAGCCCUCCUUGCCCAGGGCUGCCCCUGGGCUGACUGUGCCUGGUGAAGCCCAACGUGGAACAUCCUCCUGCUCUGCUGCUUGUUGGGAGUUCCAGGAACAAGAAUCUGGUCAGCACCAGCUUCAGUCACCUUGCACUGGGGUGAGGGAUUGCAAAACUCACCCAGUGACUUCCUGAUGGGCCAGAUCCAUCUUAUCCAGCUGUUCCUGCACAUGUCACAACCCUGGGCUGGCUCCUUCAGACAGGGGUCAAGGGCAGCUGGCUCCCCAGGCACUGCUGAGGGUCCUCUGCUGGCCACAACACCUGGCCCAGGAGCCUGCAGGGCUGAGGGGCUGCCCAGUGCCCGGGCCUGGCCCAGCACAGGGGGCUGUGCCCUGCCCCAGGCUCCCCCUGUUCAAUACAGGCAGCUGCUCUCCAUCGCUUGUGUUUGCCUAGUCCUUCCCCAGCAGAGCUGGGACAGCUGCACCAGAGCCCUGCAGACCCCCAGCUUUUUGGGGAGGGGGGCAGGAAGAGCUCUGGCUGAAGCAGAGCAGGGACCAGCACCCACCCACAGCCAGGGCUGGGCUCCAGCAGCAGCAGCAGGACUGGCAGGGAUCUGUCCUCCCAACAUGCCUGUGCAGCUCCCACAUGCAGGGAACUGAUGCAAUGCCAACAGCACAGCCUGACUCACCCUGCACCCAGGGACUGCCCCGUGCUGCUCAGAAAUGCCACAGAAAACCAGGUCCUGCCACUGAGCUGGCAGGUGCCAUGGGGGCCCCAACUCCUGCAGGAA